rnacentral:rRNA from 1 species
GAUGGGCGUGCGUCUUAUUAGCUAGUUGGUGAGGUAAAGGCUCACCAAGGCAACGAUGGGUAGCUGGUCUGAGAGGAUGAUCAGCCACACGGGCACUGAGACACGGGCCCGACUCCUACGGGAGGCAGCAGUAAGGAAUAUUGGUCAAUGGGGGCAACCCUGAACCAGCCAUGCCGCGUGAGGGAAGACGGUCCUCUGGAUUGUAAACCUCUUUUACAUGGGACUAAUAAGGUGGUAUACUCACCGUUGCAGGUACCAUAGGAAUAAGCACCGGCUAACUACGUGCCAGCAGCCGCGGUAAUACGUAGGGUGCAAGCGUUGUCCGGAUUUAUUGGGUUUAAAGGGUGCGCAGGCGGCCAGAUAAGUUAGUGGUGAAAUCGUCCGGCUUAACCGGAUACCCGCCAUUGAUACUGUUUGGCUUGAGUUUGUCAGAGGAGGUUGGAAUGCGUGGUGUAGCGGUGAAAUGCAUAGAUAUCACGCAGAACACCGAUUGCGAAGGCAGAUCUCUAUGACAAUACUGACGCUCAGGCACGAAAGCGUGGGUAGCGAACAGGAU